rnacentral:rRNA from 1 species
GAUGAACGCUGGCGGCGUGCUUAACACAUGCAAGUCGAACGGUGAAGCAGAUCUUGCUCUGUGGAUCAGUGGCGAACGGGUGAGUAACACGUGAGCAACCUGCCCCUGACUCUGGGAUAAGCGCUGGAAACGGCGUCUAAUACUGGCUAUGAGCUGCGACCGCAUGGUCAGCAGUUGGAAAGAUUUUUCGGUCUGGGAUGGGCUCACGGCCUAUCAGCUUGUUGGUGAGGUAAUGGCUCACCAAGGCGGAGACGGGUAGGCGGCCUGGGGGGGUGAACGGGCACAAGGGGACUGAGGAAAGGACCAGGCUGCUAAGGGAGGCAGCAGUGGGGAAUAUUGCACAAUGGGCGAAAGCCUGAUGCAGCAACGCCGCGUGAGGGAUGAAGGCCUUCGGGUUGUAAACCUCUUGUAGCAGGGAAGAAGCGAAAGUGACGGUACCUGCAGAAAAAGCGCCGGCUAACUACGUG